rnacentral:tRNA from 1 species
GCGGCCCCAGCUCGGUUGGCAGAGCAUUGGAUUGUGAUUCCAAGGGCCGCCGCCGUGGCGCCGGCCGGUGCAAAUCCGGUACGCCAUCCCA